rnacentral:rRNA from 1 species
UAGAGUUUGAUCAUGGCUCAGAUUGAACGCUGGCGGCAUGCCUUACACAUGCAAGUCGAACGGCAGCACGGGAGCUUGNNNCUGGUGGCGAGUGGCGAACGGGUGAGUAAUACAUCGGAACGUACCCAGGAGUGGGGGAUAACGUAGCGAAAGUUACGCUAAUACCGCAUAUUCUGUGAGCAGGAAAGCGGGGGAUCGCAAGACCUCGCGCUCUUGGAGCGGCCGAUGUCGGAUUAGCUAGUUGGUGAGGUAAAAGCUCACCAAGGCGACGAUCCGUAGCAGGUCUGAGAGGAUGAUCUGCCACACUGGGACUGAGACACGGCCCAGACUCCUACGGGAGGCAGCAGUGGGGAAUUUUGGACAAUGGGGGCAACCCUGAUCCAGCCAUGCCGCGUGAGUGAAGAAGGCCUUCGGGUUGUAAAGCUCUUUCGGCGGGGAAGAAAUGGCAACGGCUAAUAUCCGUUGUUGAUGACGGUACCCGCAUAAGAAGCACCGGCUAACUACGUGCCAGCAGCCGCGGUAAUACGUAGGGUGCGAGCGUUAAUCGGAAUUACUGGGCGUAAAGCGUGCGCAGGCGGUUUCGUAAGACAGACGUGAAAUCCCCGGGCUCAACCUGGGAACUGCGUUUGUGACUG